rnacentral:rRNA from 1 species
CCUACGGGGGGCUGCAGUAACGAAUCUUCCGCAAUGCACGAAAGUGUGACGGAGCGACGCCGCGUGUGGGACGAAGUCCUUCGGGAUGUAAACCACUGUCAGGGGUUACCAAGUUCUGAGGAGCCCCAGAGGAAGGCACGGCUAACUCUGUGCCAGCAGCCGCGGUAAGACAGAGGUGCCGAGCGUUAGGCGGAAUCACUGGGCUUAAAGCGUGUGUAGGCGGGUCCGUAAGUACCUUGUGAAAUCCCACGGCUCAACCGUGGAACUGCUCGGUAUACUGCGGGUCUUGAGCUGUCUAGGGGCAACCGGAACAAACGGUGGAGCGGUGAAAUGCGUAGAUAUCGUUUGGAACGCCGAUGGUGAAAACAGGUUGCUGGGGACAUGCUGACGCUGAGACACGAAAGCCAGGGGAGCAAACGGGAUUAGAUACCCUUGUAGUC